GCUCAUGCUGAGCUUCCAGCAAAACAUUUCUUCUCUUUCUGUAGCUCAUGACAUCCUGGCAUCAACUGUCCUGUGAGCCAUCCAUGGAAGAAGUUCUCUUCUGAAGCCACAGUGGAGGUAGCAUAGGUGGAUGCGGUGAAGAAUCGCUGUGCCCAGGGCAAUCGUCAGUAAUAACAGAGCUGAUGGGACAAUAACUCAGAGAGGUGAGCACACCACAGACAGCACCAGGGGGCAAAUGUUCUUCCUGAUUAACGGGAGGUUCAAGCCAAUGUCAGACAAUAAAGGAAAUCUCACCACAGUGUAUAUUCACAGACUUCUUAGGUUCAGAUAUUUUGUUUACAAGACAAAUCAUUUCCCUAACCCUGCUCGUCUCAAUUGACCUGGUUAAAAUUGUUUCCAAAGCCAGCAGUUCUAAAGAGCAGAACCAGAACAGAAUGGAAACUUUCUGGACUUGCUCACCAAAACCUGAGGCCCUCAUCUCAGCCCACCCAGAAGCCCGUGUGAUCUCCCAACCUCAGCUCAGAUGGAAAGAAGAACACAUCUGUGCGUCUGCUCACCCGAGCCUGAUCACAUUUCCAGACACCACCCCAGCAAAUUAAGCAGAUGCUAAA
rnacentral:lncRNA from 13 species